UACGAAGGGGGCUAGCGUUGUUCGGAAUCACUGGGCGUAAAGCGCACGUAGGCGGAUCUUUAAGUCAGAGGUGAAAUCCCAAGGCUCAACCUUGGAACUGCCUUUGAUACUGGGGAUCUUGAGUCCGGGAGAGGUGAGUGGAACUGCGAGUGUAGAGGUGAAAUUCGUAGAUAUUCGCAAAAACACCAGUGGCGAAGGCGGCUCACUGGCCCGGUACUGACGCUGAGGUGCGAAAGCGUGGGGAGCAAACAGG
rnacentral:rRNA from 1 species